UUCACUUGGACUUGAGUAGCUUUCC
rnacentral:piRNA from 1 species